UACGUAGGGGGCCAGCGUUGUCCGGAUUUACUGGGCGUAAAGAGCGCGUAGGCGGUCUGAUUAGCGGAGGGUGAAAUCCCGGGGCUCAACUCCGGGGCUGCUCUCCGAACUGUCAGACUAGAGUGCGGGAGAGGGCAGUGGAAUUCCUGGUGUAGCGGUGGAAUGCGUAAAUAUCAGGAGGAACACCUGUGGCGAAGGCUGCUGCCUGGAACGUUACUGACGCUGAGGCGCGAAAGCUAGGGGAGCGAACGGG
rnacentral:rRNA from 1 species